rnacentral:rRNA from 1 species
CCUACCAUAUCACUCUCAAUAUACCCAAUUUAAUCUGAUUUUGGAAGCAAAGCAGGGACAGAACUGGUUAGUAACUUGAGUGGGAGACCACAGUAGAACAUCACGUAUCUCCAGGU